rnacentral:tRNA from 1 species
GCCGAAGUGGCGGAACUGGCAGACGCGCCGGACUCAAAAUCCGGUGGGACGAAAGUCCCGUGUGGGUUCGACUCCCACCUUCGGCACUA